rnacentral:lncRNA from 1 species
AGUUUUCGGAUUCCCAAACAAGUCUUAAAUAAAUCAGCGAGAUGUAGACAUCAAACACCAAGUAUUACAAAAAGGAAAGGACCCACCCACACACUAGAGAAUAUCAUGAUCCCAGGGGCACACGAAAUAGAUGGCCUUGCAUUUUUUUUUUAAUUUACAACAUCGCGUCUAUGGUGUAAAUAAGAACAAUAAAUCCGAGUUAGCCCGCUUCAGACUCGAACACUGUCGCAGAAGGAACAACGGUGAUCUUCGUCCUGGCGACAAAACACACACGGUUGAAGUCAGAGGCCAUCGCCAGUUCUUUUCACGCAUGGCGGCGCAUCGGCCUGGUUAGCAUCCCCCGCCAAUGGGGAUUUCACUGCAGAGUUCCACAUUGCAGCGUAACAAAAUCAAUCUACCUAGAAGUUCCUUCCUCUGUAUUGCUGCUGCUGCAUCUCCUGCAAAACAGAUUAAAACACGAUUAGAACGGACGAUUUGCAUCUCCAGCUUAACAGAGCUGGGGUGUACAAACAUUUCAUUUCAAAAGAGGCAUGUAUGUUGGCUCACAGGUGCAUAAUAAUAGACAGGGCGGGUCUGUCCCAUCAUCAUUUGCUGCCCAUACUGCAGAUAAGAAAACAAAGUUACUUAGCACGAUGGUAGCAAAGAGCAUCAGUAAUCUCGAGGCAUCAGCUUAUAUGCAAUUAGUCAGUAAUUCAGCGUCCAGGCAUUCGACCUGAGGGGGGAAUGAAUGACUACUAUAUAACAGCAUGGAAUGGCAAACUCAUGGUCCAAACAUAAGGCAAUUAAUAAACACCACUGUGUAACAUCAACAUAAGUAAUAACUAUAUAAACCAAGAGAACCCAGCCUAGGUCUUAGAUAGGAUCAUUAGAAAACUAUAAGCAUAACAGCAUGUCAACGAUAAGCCAAAACAUGCAUAGUGAAGUUCAUUUCACGUAAGCUGUCUCACCUGUUGCCCAGAAGGAUGCAUGUAACCCUGGGGAGAAGAUCCAGGCUGAGCAUUGUAAACAACAGGCUGUCCACCAUACGCCUGUGGAAACUGCAAUAUAAUUACCAUAGUGAGGUACAGCAAUUACAGGCAUAGUUAGCACAAGAAAUUGUUACAGCAAUCACUGCCAAUGCAUCAGAAGUUAGUACAGCCUUUUUACAAGGGGACACAAAAUAGAAUGUACAAUGUUCAAGAACCGCCACAUAAUUAAUAGAUAAAAUGUAAUCGCAUCAUUUUACAAUAUAUAGUUAUAUACUGCAUAUUGGUUCAACUGAAAGCACACUUGGAAACAUAACCUAGAUAUUCAGCCUAUGUGCGCCUUGGAAAGCAUGGACUACUGCAUUUUAAGACCUUGAAAAAUCGUGAAGGACCACAGCAAUUAAGAAAAGCUUAUCAAUACAAUCUACUGAUAAGCUUUGGUGCCAGAUUAACUGUUUGGCUGAUUAGCCUGUAAACUUUUCACUGCAACCAUUCACAAUUUUUGGGGGGUAAAAACCAACAAAUAUGUUCAUAACUGAGACAACUAUACAACUCCAGUAAUCGCAUCACAAUGCACACUGAUAUUAGGUAUAUAAAUUGCACGCUGAUAUUUGGUAAGAUAUUAAUUGCACGUUGAUACUCACUCCGUCCCGAAUUACCUGUCGCAGAAAUGGAUAAAAAUGGAUGUAUCUAGAACUAAAAUACGUCUAGAUACAUCCAUUUCUGGGACAAGUAAUUUCAGACGGAAGGAGUAUUAGGUAAAAUAUUAAUUGAAUGCUGAUAUUUGGCAGAAUAUUAAUUGUGUGGCAGAUUUCAUAGGAUGGUGUUAAGUCUAAACUUCUUUAUAACCAGUGACAGUGGUGAGUAACUAGAGCAUUAAACAAGUUUGGUGCUAAACAUUGGGGUGAUAUAGACCAUCAGAUCAGCAUGAUUCGAUGGCCGAGACGGUUUUGGUUCUCCGGCCUUCGAGCUUUUAUAGGUGUAGAAGAUGCAUCCAUUUGAAUUCAAAUAUUGCAACCAUUUUACAUAAAUAGUAAGUAACUUGGCAACUAUCAAAAGUAGAAACUCACCCCCAUGCCAACAGGCAAACCAGGUCCAGUAGCCCCCAUGUUAUUAGGAUAAUAGUAUGUUGCAUCAGGCGCUGGAGGGUGAUGUGGCCUCGGAGAAGUCAAGGGAGUGAAACUCUUAGCAUUAGGGUUCAAUUUGAAUUCCUGGUACGGAAAACCAAUAGUCAGUGCACUUGGCACAGGCGACAAAACAUGGCCAGAUAUGAUACACAUAUCUACAUUACAUCCUGACCUUAGCGUUUGGGUUCAAACUUGAUUUGUCUGAGCUAAGAGAUCCCAUCGAAGAACUUGGUGAUAAGCCUGGAGCAGCACUCGCAGCUGAGUUCGCAGCACUCGCAGCUGAGUUCGCAGCAACACGCUCGGAUGUUAAUGGUAUAGAACUGCCAGGUCUUUGAGAAGAAUUCGCAUAUUCAGGCGCAGAAGGAA